rnacentral:lncRNA from 1 species
UCAAAGUUUACUUUCCCAGGUACGUGACCUUCAAAUACAUUCCUUACAAUACCUGACAAUAGAUUCCAUUGUCUUACUAACUAUAACCAUUAACUCAUACUAAUUCUCAUUCGAACAGCUUUUCUUUUCCCUUGUUCGUGCCUGAGCCUUCAGGUCGAUCGUACGUAACUGAAAACAUUUAAUUUAAGCAAGGAUGAGCAUUUGAGUGCCCAACAAGUAAUAGCAAUUAUAUAUAUAAGCUGAAAGAAUAUAAGUAUUCUCUUUCCAUAAUACUUCUACAACGAAUCAAAAGUUGAGAAGUAAUCUGUACUGAUAAAAGAUUCACAUAACAGCUCUCUUUCAAUUUCUUGAAAUUAGGCUCCACCCAUGAAUAGGGUUUAAGAAACAUACUAUGAACAUUGUUUUUCAUUUUCGAAAAGGUUUAGCAGAAAUUCAUCCGCAAACCGUCAUAACUUACGGGCACGGAGGGUGAUCAGCCCCGUUGUACCCUGUAUUGAUCAAUACUACAUAACUUGAACGAAAUUCAUCGCUCACCCUUUGUCCGCCGAAGCGCAUAAAAAUUUUCCCAUUAUCGGGAUGUUCAUACAUGCCUGGUUCCAAACCCGAAGGUUUUUAAUCUUGCUCAACAAUAAUAUGUAAUUCAACAUAUAUGUAUACGGGUAAUUGACAAAGGUAUAUCAACAUGUGAAUAAAUGCCAUGAUUAUCCAAGUGGGGACACUUGUAUAACCAUUUAGAAAUCAACUUAACAGAAUAUAUAUCUGAGCUAACAUGUUGAUAAUCAAAGCGUACAUAAUCUGUACAGGAAUAGAAUAAUUCUGAAACUUCUUACUCAUGUCCAUUGCAUAAAGGAAAUGCAAAGGUAAGAUACUUGCCUGAUUCGCUGAUUACAAAUCUCAACUUAGGUUUUAUCUCUUUAUCACAACCUAUCAAUAAUCAGAUCAUUCGUUCGAUUAGAACAAUAUAUCAUAACACAUAGUACUGUCUAUUACAGUCAGCACAUAGUCUAAUCACGUCAUCACAUAAUCGCAGUGAUCAUACUUUUAGUUCAUAUUCUAUACUUGAAAUAUUUUUAUACAUUUUUCAAAUAUCUCAUCCAUGCUCUUACAGAAGUCUUUUCUUUCUAUUAUAGGGUCUGACAUUUGUCGGCGUACCGACAGCUUUAUCGGGUAAAUACUGAGUCUAAGACUCUUAUCCUAUACCUCAACAUCUGUAAAUAUCAAACAUUUUAUUUUUAAUCAUUUUCGAAUUUUCCAGAAAUUGAAAAAUUUAAAAUAAUUCAAAUCUGUCACUACCGGGCCUAUAGUGAUAUAACUGUUACUAUAGGUGUUCCUCAAAACUUCAUAACUUCAUAAUCGGUUCUCAAGUCAGCUAGUUUGGCCGGCUAUAACUUUCAAACAUCGGAAUCAUAAUUAAAUGAUUUAAACAUUAAACAAUUCCAUUAUCAUUAAUAAUUAAUUUAUAUUAAACUAUUAAUGAAACCAUUGCCAAAAUAUAAAAGUUAUUUAUAAUAACUCAAACUAUUUUUAAAACAUUUAUAUUACCCUUAAAUGAUUUUUAAAACAAUUAAAAUCAUUUUUAAAUAAUCACCAUUAAUAUAUAAAUAUUAAUGUACUAUUCAUCCAAAUAUUAAAAGUCAUUAAUUAUAACUUAAAAUAUUUUUAAAUCCUUAAUAUCCUCUUUAAAUGAUUUUUAAAUAAAUAAAACCAUUUUUAAACUAUUUAUUUAAUAAUAAUUAUUAAAUAAACUAAAUAUCAUUAAUAUUAUCUUAAUAUCAUUAAUAUUAAAUUAUUAAUGAAAUUAUCCUUUAAAUAUUAAAAGUUAUAUUUUAUAACUUAAAAUAUUUUUAAAUACCUUAAUUUCAUUUAAAAUGAUUUUUAUAAUAUUAAAAUCAUUUUUAAACUAAAUUAUUUAAUAUAAUCAUUAAAUAACUUUAAUAUCAUUAAUAUAUAAUUAAUUAAUGAAAUUCAUCACAAAAUAUUAAAAGUCAUGGGAAAUAACUUAAAAUAUUUUCUUAUACCAUAAUAUAAUUUUUCAUGAUUUUUCAUGAAUUAAAACUAUUUUUAAAUCAUUUAUUUAAUAUUAUAAUUAAAUAAAUAAAUACCUUUUAUAUUCCAAAAAUAUUAAAUAUUUAUGAAAUAUACUCAAAAUAAUUAAAAACUAUUUUUCAGACUUUAAAAUAAUUUUUCAUAAUUUAUUUGGUAUUUUUAAUAAUUAAAAUCUAAUUUUUCUAAUUUUUAAAUCAUUUUUCGGAAAAUCAGAAAUUAAAAUAAUUAAAACUGUCGCUAAAGGCCCCUAUAGUGACAGAAGUGUCGCUAUAGGUGUUCUUGAGCCUACCCAGAUCUUCAUAAGGCAGAACCGAGUGGCCUACUUUGACCGUGAAUAACUCUCUCAUCUUAACGAAUUUGGACAAUCUAUAAAUUGGGUCUUGUAGAGGAAAUACAAGACUACAAGAUCCAACAAUCAUAACCUCUAAACAAACAUCAGAUCUGGGAUAAAUCAGCCAUCAAAGUAGCUACCAAAGCUGUUCUUCACGAAGAACAGUUCGAGGUGCCUACUUUGGACCUCUAUAACUUGAUGAUCGUGUAACGUUUAUGUGAUCUAUCAAUUCCAGUGUGUAGACAACAUGUAGGACUACAACUCUAACACUUAACAUCAUCAUAAAAACAAGAAAUCAAGCAUCUAAAGUAUGGUCAAACCUUGUCAGAAAAAUUAACACUUAGAAAAUUCUGGGCUGCCCAGAAUUUUCUGGUCAAUGCCGGUCAACCCACUUUGACCUUAAAUAACUCUUAAUCCGUAAUAUAUAUGGACCUGAUUCUUUUUGGAGGUUAAAUACCACAUAACAAGAUACACAUAUCAACCUUUAGAACACAAAACACAUUAAAGAUAACCGAGAUAUAAGGCCUGACAUUUUCCAAAAUAAUAUUUUCUGGACACUUAGAAUAUUUUCUGGGUUUGAAGAACAGCCGGUCAAUGCCGGUCAACCCACUUUGACCGCUUAUAAAUCCCGAUCUACAAUAGCUAUGAACUUUAUUCCUUUUGGAGAUUAAAGACCACAUAUCAGGCUACCUAUAACAACUUUUAAACAACAAAACUCGUGAUCGACCAAAGAGUUAUAGCCUCUGACAUUUGGUGAAAAAUAACAGAAUUCGGUUUUUCCAACUUGUUUAAAUCUUCAAAUUCGUGCACUUUGAUGUUAUGGGUUCAUGAUUUUACAACCCAGAACAUUAAUAGACUCUCUAUUACACUACUUUAAACAAUCAAUUGCAUCAAUUAACAUCGAAUCGAAGGAUUUCUAGAAUUUAGGAUUUCCUACCUUUUCAAGCUUGAUUUUUGAUUUCUGGCUUCUUGAUGCUUCUGAUUUGUUGUUUGUGAUGGUUGGGCUUUGUUUAGGGACUGAUAUGCUACAAUAAUU